rnacentral:rRNA from 1 species
GACGAACGCUGGCGGCGUGCCUAAUACAUGCAAGUCGAGCGAAGUUUUUCUGGUGCUUGCACUAGAAAAACUUAGCGGCGAACGGGUGAGUAACACGUAAAGAACCUGCCUCAUAGACUGGGACAACUAUUGGAAACGAUAGCUAAUACCGGAUAACAGUAUUUCUCGCAUGGGAGAUAUUUAAAAGUUGGUUAUGCUAACACUAUGAGAUGGCUUUGCGGUGCAUUAGCUAGUUGGUGGGGUAAAGGCCUACCAAGGCGACGAUGCAUAGCCGACCUGAGAGGGUGAUCGGCCACACUGGGACUGAGACACGGCCCAGACUCCUACGGGAGGCAGCAGUAGGGAAUCUUCCGCAAUGGGCGAAAGCCUGACGGAGCAACGCCGCGUGAGUGAAGAAGGAUUUCGGUUCGUAAAGCUCUGUUGUUAGGGAAGAAUGGAUAUGUAGUAACUAUACAUAUAAGAG